GAUGAACGCUGGCGGCGUGCCUAAUACAUGCAAGUCGAGCGAACAGACGAGGAGCUUGCUCCUCUGACGUUAGCGGCGGACGGGUGAGUAACACGUGGAUAACCUACCUAUAAGACUGGGAUAACUUCGGGAAACCGGAGCUAAUACCGGAUAAUAUAUUGAACCGCAUGGUUCAAUAGUGAAAGACGGUUUUGCUGUCACUUAUAGAUGGAUCCGCGCCGCAUUAGCUAGUUGGUAAGGUAACGGCUUACCAAGGCAACGAUGCGUAGCCGACCUGAGAGGGUGAUCGGCACACUGGAACUGAGACACGGUCCAGACUCCUACGGGAGGCAGCAGUAGGGAAUCUUCCGCAAUGGGCGAAAGCCUGACGGAGCAACGCCGCGUGAGUGAUGAAGGUCUUCGGAUCGUAAAACUCUGUUAUUAGGGAAGAACAAAUGUGUAAGUAACUAUGCACGUCCUGACGGUACCUAAUCAGAAAGCCACGGCUAACUACGUG
rnacentral:rRNA from 1 species